rnacentral:rRNA from 1 species
AUUGAACGCUGGCGGCAGGCCUAACACAUGCAAGUCGAACGAGUGGCGGACGGGUGAGUAAUGUCUGGGAAACUGCCUGAUGGAGGGGGAUAACUACUGGAAACGGUAGCUAAUACCGCAUACCACAGGAUGUUCCCAGAUGGGAUUAGCUAGGAGGUGGGGUAAAGGCUCACCUAGGCGACGAUCCCUAGCUGGCCUGAGAGGAUGCCCAGCCACCCGGGAACGGAGACACGGUCCAGACUCCUACGGGAGGCAGCAGUGGGGAAUAUUGGACAAUGGGCGCAAGCCGGAUGCAGCCAUGCCGCGGGUAGGAAGAAGGCCUUCGGGUUGUAAAGUACUUUCAGCGGGGAGGCGUUACCCGCAGAAGAAGCACCGGCUAACUCCGUGCCAGCAGCCGCGGUAAUAC